UUUCCCUUUCUACCAGCACAAGAGUCUUCCAUAUUCUCAGCAAAUGUAAUACAGUAAGGAAGAAACAUAAGAAAUUUAAAAAAUGAAUGAGAACUAUGGGGAGAGGGAAGGGAAGUUAGAAAGACAUGGCCUUGAAUAAUGAGGCAAUGCAGAGAAGGUUAAUAUUCUAUGAAAUUACUUACCUUUAUCUGCAAAGGUAAACUGUAGUCUGAAGUUUACUGGUUUUCAGUCUGGGAAUAACUUCUUUAUAUUUCCUCAACUUAGAGGAAACAGUGGUACUUGCAGCAAUGCUAAAAAAGUAGGCUUAGUGAGUGGGUUUAAUUUUAAGUAUCAGGGAGGAAACAAGUCACCAAGCAGGCCUUAGACUGGAAAUAGGAAUUUUUAAUCUUUCAUUUUUCCUGCUGUAGCUCACGGAAAACAGUGCAGACUGGCUACAGAAGAAUCAUGCCAAAGAACAUACGAGGGCUCAUUUUAUGAGAUCAGUUUUGGAGUUGCAAUUCUAAGCUGGUAGAAGGUUUGCAAAGUACUUGAAAAACUUGACCCUUCUCCAGACUCCCCCGCAUGAGUCACCCAACCCUCCUUCAGUCAUUAGACUGCACUUCCUGCUGGGAUCCAGCAAUAAAACAAACGAGAGACACUGGUUCUGGUCAUGGUGAGGGAAAUUCUCCUGGUUUUUUAGUUCCAAACUUGCCUACUAUUACAGUAACUGUGCUAAGAGAACUGCUGUCUCCAUAAACUCCUUGGGUUCAUUCCACAGUGUACACAGGAGACACAACCCCUUUAAACUUCAAGGAGAUCCCAUUGCAGUGUAGAAGAGAAAAAUUCAGAGAUUAUGGAAUAAUCAUCUCCAAAUCGAUCAAUUUCCCCCUGAAGGCAACCAUCUUCCUUGGACAAUAAGAAUUCUGAAUUUCAGAUGCAUAGAUCAAAUAGUGAUUAUAGUACUGCUCUCCCAGUACUGGAAUGAGCUCUGGCAGUUCCAUCCUCCACAGAAUGCCUGAUAAAGUUUUAGGCCACACAUGCAGCUUAAGACCCUGCAUUGAAUUCAACUCACUAACAACCUCUUUAGUAUUUUUUGCUGGAGAAAGAAGAAAUCCUUAACUCUGGCCAUUCUAUCCAGACCCCUCUCUCAAGGAAGGGUGUAUUUUGUAGUCCUGAGCCUAGUUGAAGCUUUUACACUGGAAGACAUGCACAGGCUCACCACCAUCCCCUAUGCGCAGAGAAGCCACACAGCUUGCUGCACUACCUUGAUUCUGCAGAUGACGAGUGCAGAGUAAGAUAAUGCUAAGUCUAGAACUUUUCCUCUUCCUCUGAGGAAUGGAGCAGCUUUAACUUCUGACUUUUUGCCCACUUUACUAAAAGCUUCCUUCAAAAGACAGAAAUAAAACAAUGUGUCUUCCCUAAUAAAGCAAACUGGCACUUAACUUUGUUUUUCCUUGGGAACCACAGUACAACAAGUGAAACACUGAAGAAAAAUGGUUGUGUACAUUCCAGCAAAAGGAAUGCAAGUGUUUCACCACUUCUCCCUUUUCUGCUUUGGCCGCCUCAUCUUUUCUUUUAGAUAUUUGAGAGAGCUGAGGCUGAAACAAGUCAUUCUAGAAAACAAACUCACAUAAUAACAAGAGAUUGGGCAAGUACAUUUUAAGAUGUUACGCUCUUUAGCCAAGGGGGUAAGUAACCAGGAGUUGGCUUCUUGUCCACAACACAAACAGAGGUGGUAUCUGUGAACCCAGUUUAUUUACUGUUGCAAUUGAUUAGGAUCAUGCACAAAACCGAGUGAAAUGGAAAUACACUAAUACUAAAUCCAUAUUGCAAUGGGGAAGGGGUGAGGAGAAGCAGUAAGGUGAUCCCACUUGAAAACACUCUUAAAUCCUCUCUCAGCGCCCUAUAGCAAUAUGCUCACAGUCAUUCCUUUAUUUGCCACUGACCACAAAGCACAGGUGUUCUUGCUGCCCACGAGGAAAGUCAGGGCUCAUGUCAUCUUUCUACAUCCUUUGGUCCACACUGCUGCACCCUGCCCUUCAACUGCUCAAAUACAGGCGGACCCGCAAGCAGAAA